GCCUGAGUGGCUCAGUCGGUUGGGCGUCUGACUUCAGCUCAGGUCAUGAUCUCACAGUUUGUGGGUUCGAGCCCCGCGUCGGGCU
rnacentral:tRNA from 1 species